rnacentral:misc_RNA from 1 species
GAAAAAUCAGCAGAAGAAAGAUCAAGCAUGCCUUCCUUAUGCAGAUGGACCUCCUUUUAUAAUUUCUCACUCUCAGAGUGCCCUCAUUCCACUCCAACAGUAUUCCCCACCACAUCUGGAUCUCCUCCCUUCUUAUUCCUUCUUGAAUAAACCUUCCAAGUCUUCCUUUUGGGCCUUUGGACUAGGCCAUGAUCCACUGGCUCAUCAC